rnacentral:lncRNA from 1 species
CUUACCUCCCACCACAUAAAAUUAGCUCCAGAUGGAGCAGUGAGCUAAACUUAAGACCCCAAAUUUAGCAUAUCCUGGAAGAAAAUACAGGGCUAAGCCUCAUACACUCAUAUUUGGCAAGAGUAUAUUUAGUAUGACACAAUUGUACAAGAGACAAAAAGAUAAGUUGGACGUCAUCAAAUUGAAACACGUUUGUGAAUGAAGGAACAAUCUCAAGAGUGUAUGAAGAAGACCCAGAGAAUGGUAUAAAAUAUUUAUAGAUUUUUGUCUGCAGAAGUUCCUGCUGUGGCACAAUGCGUUGAUGAUAUGGCGUUGUCUUUUAGGUGGCACAAGUUCAACCCCCUGGAUCUCUAAAACAUUAUCCUAAGUGGAAGAAGCCAGACGCAAAAGGUGCCCCAUACCGUAGGGUUAUAGCAAUAGGAACAUGAAGAGUGAUAGGUGCCAGAUUGGGGGUAGGGGGAGUGGAGAAUGGAAAGUGAAUGCUUAAUGGGUGUGGGGUUUCUUUUGGGGGUGAUGAAGAUGCCCUGGAACUAGAUGGUGGUGGUGGUGCACAGCACAAUAAAGGUAGUUUAUGCCACUGAUUGUAUAGUUAAAUAUGUUUAAAGAGAUAAACUUUAUUUUGCAUCAAAGUUAACCCAUAAAAUAGAGGCAACCAUAAAAUAUAUGAAAAAAAAAAAAAAAACCCCAGAAAAACAGGAAAAGGAUGCCUUCACAGGUGAGGAUGGGAAGACUGGUUCUGGAGCUGCUGUAGCGGUGUUUCACGAGCAGCUGCUGGAGGUGGGUUCAGAGCUUCUUGUCAGUGCGGAUGGUAACUAACAGGCUGAAGCUCGAGAGCUGGUGCUCGUGUUGAUGCCUGCUCUGUAGCCUGCAUCAGCUAGCUCCGCAGCGGGUUCCAGAGCUGGCUCCAGGGCAAGAGGUGGGGUGAGCCUAGAUUCUAGCUGGAGUUGAUUCUGGUUCUGAGACUUACCCUGGUUCUUUCUCUGGAGUUGGUGUUGGAGCAGCUCCUGGCUCUAGAGCUGGCGAUAGGCGCUGACAGCAGAGUUGGUUAUAGAGCCGUCCCUGUCUCUGGAUGCUGGCGGUGGUGGUGCUUGAGCUGCUUCUACCGUUGGUGUUGGAGGUAGAGCUCUUGUGGCAGCUGACGUUGGUUCUGGGCUUGCACAGGCUCUGUUGCGGAGCUAGUGUUAGAGCUGGUUUUAAUUCUAGGUCUGGUGCUAGAACUAUCACUGGAGUUUUCACAGAAGUUGGCAGUAAAUCUGCCUCUGUCUCUAUAGUUCAUGUUCGGACUGGUACUAGAGAUGUUCCUACUUCUAAUUUGGUGCAAGAACCAGCAACUGUAAAGGCUUUCACGGUGGAGCUGGUCCAGGUGUCUGGUGGGGGGGGGCUUUAGUUCUGUAGUUAAUGCCAGACCUGACUUUCAUCCACAGUUGGUGCAAACUGUGGUGCUUUUGGUGGCUCUGGCUUUGUAGGUCAGAGUAACUCUAGUUUUGCUCUAGUUACAUAGAUGGCAGGGAAUCCUGUGAUGGUUCUAGCUCUCCUCCUGGACCAGGUACAGAAGCUGGCUAUGUCUCCAGGUUGCUGCUCUAACUGCUUGUGUAGUAGGCGCCAGCUCUGGGGCUGCAGCUGAAGGUGGCACUACAGCCAAUGUUAGACAUGCUCUAGCCCCAGGGCUGCUUUCAGUUCCGUAGCUGUGUCUGCAGAAUUGUACUAGCCUAGUGCUGGAGCCGGAUGAGCGCUAGAUCUUGACGUGGUACUGACUCAACAGGAGCGGGAAAUCUCGCCAACCUUCCCUUCCAUGCGACUUGCCUGAAACAGGAAAAGAGCACAGCCUUUCGCAGUCGUGCCGGAGCUGCUUGUAGAAUUGGCUCUACUACUGGGGCUGGCUCUAACUCUGGGAAUGAUGCCAGAACUGGUGGCAGAAAUGGUCUUAGCUGUGGGGUUCAAGCUGGAGCUCGCUUUAACGCCGGAGCUGGUGGAAGCAACGCAAUGUCCACCAUGUUGAGUGGGUAGACAAAACGUGGUAUUCUUGACCUAUAAAAAGGAAGGAAAUCCUGACAGAUGCACCCAUGGGGGCAUUUUGCUAAAUGAAAUAAGCCCAUGCCUUGAAGACAGGGUGUGACUUCAGUUCCAGGUUGCGUGGAAAGUAGUCUUGCUUUUGGAAAUGGGCGCUAGAGCGGUGGUUCCUGGCAGGCUGGGGGCAGGAGUAAAGGUGGCCUGAUGCUUAGGGUACCGAGCUUCAGGUUUGCAAGAUUCAGUACUCUGGAGAUUUGUUUUACAACAAUGUAAAUACACAUAAAACUAUGGAACUGUCAGUUCCCAUCGUGGUGCAGCGGAAACGAAUCUGACUGGCAUCCAUGAGGACGCAGGUUCAAUCCCUGGCCUCACUCAGUGGGUUAAGGAUCUGGCAUUGCCGUGAGCUAUGGUGUAGGUCUCAGAUGUGGCUGGGAUCUGGCGUUGCUGUGGCUGUGGCAUAUUGAACUGUACAAUUAAAAUCGUUAAAAUGGUAAAUUAAGUGUUAUGAUUUUUGUCACAAUAAAAAAGAGUACAUGAUAUUUGA